UACGUAGGGGGCUAGCGUUGUCCGGAAUCAUUGGGCGUAAAGCGCGUGUAGGCGGUCCGGUAGGUCCGCUGUGAAAGCCCGGAGCUCAACUCCGGAACUGCCAUUGAAACUGUAAGACUUGAGGAUGAGAGAGGUGAGUGGAAUUCCCAGUGUAGAGGUGAAAUUCGUAGAUAUUGGGAAGAACACCGGUGGCGAAGGCGGCUCACUGGCUCAUAUCUGACGCUCAGGCGCGACAGCGUGGGGAUCAAACAGG
rnacentral:rRNA from 1 species